UACGUAGGGGGCAAGCGUUGUCCGGAUUUAUUGGGCGUAAAGAGCGUGUAGGCGGCCAGGUAGGUCAGCUGUGAAAACUCGAGGCUCAACCUCGGGACGCCGGUUGAAACCAUCUGGCUAGAGUCCGGAAGAGGAGUGUGGAAUUCCCGGUGUAGCGGUGAAAUUCGUAGAGAUCGGGUGGAACACCAGUGGCGAAGGCGCCUAUCUGGCUGACAACUGACGCUGAGACUCGAAAGCAUGGGGAGCAAACAGG
rnacentral:rRNA from 1 species